rnacentral:rRNA from 1 species
GGAUAACCUGCCCUUGGGACCGGCAUAACCCCGGGAAACUGGGGAUAAUUCCGGAUACCGCAUAUCUGCUGGAAUGCUUUAUGCGUAAAAUGGAUUCGUCUGCCCAAGGAUGGGUCUGCGGCCUAUCAGGUAGUAGUGGGUGUAAUGUACCUACUAGCCAACGACGGGUACGGGUUGUGAGAGCAAGAGCCCGGAGAUGGAUUCUGAGACAUGAAUCCAGGCCCUACGGGGCGCAGCAGGCGCGAAAACUUUACAAUGCGGGAAACCGUGAUAAGGGGACACCGAGUGCCAGCAACAUUUGUUGGCUGUCCGGGUGUGUAAACUACACCUGUUAGCAAGGGCCGGGCAAGACCGGUGCCAGCCGCCGCGGUAACACCGGCGGCCCGAGUGGUGAUCGUGAUUAUUGGGUCUAAAGGGUCCGUAGCCGGUUUGGUCAGUCCUCCGGGAAAUCUGAUAGCUCAACUGUUAGGCUUUCGGGGGAUACUGCCAGACUUGGAACCGGGAGAGGUAAGAGGUACUACAGGGGUAGGAGUGAAAUCUUGUAAUCCCUGUGGGACCACCUGUGGCGAANGCGUCUUACCAGAACGGGUUCGACGGUGANGGACGAAAGCUGGGGGCACGAACCGGAUUAGAUACCCGGGUAGUCCCAGCCGUAAACGAUGCUCGCUAGGUGUCANGCAUGGCGCGACCGUGUCUGGUGCCNCAGGGAANCCGUGAAGCGAGCCACCUGGGGAANUNCGGCCGCCAAGGCUGAAACUUAA